CCUACGGGAGGCAGCAGUGAGGAAUAUUGGUCAAUGGCCGUAAGGCUGAACCAGCCAAGUCGCGUGAAGGAAGAAGGAUCUAUGGUUUGUAAACUUCUUUUAUAGGGGAAUAAAGGUAUCCACGUGUGGAUAUUUGCAUGUACCCUAUGAAUAAGCAUCGGCUAACUCCGUGCCAGCAGCCGCGGUAAUACGGAGGAUGCGAGCGUUAUCCGGAUUUAUUGGGUUUAAAGGGUGCGUAGGUUGUUUUUUAAGUCAGCGGUGAAAGUUUGUGGCUCAACCAUAAAAUUGCCGUUGAAACUGGAAGACUUGAGUGUGUUUGAGGUAGGCGGAAUGCGUGGUGUAGCGGUGAAAUGCAUAGAUAUCACGCAGAACUCCGAUUGCGAAGGCAGCUUACUAAGCCAUAACUGACACUGAAGCACGAAAGCGUGGGGAUCAAA
rnacentral:rRNA from 1 species